UGAUCAUGGCUCAGAUUGAACGCUGGCGGCAGGCCUAACACAUGCAAGUCGAGCGGUAACAGGGGAAGCUUGCUUCUCGCUGACGAGCGGCGGACGGGUGAGUAAUGUAUGGGGAUCUGCCCGAUAGAGGGGGAUAACCACUGGAAACGGUGGCUAAUACCGCAUAAUCUCUUAGGAGCAAAGCAGGGGAACUUCGGUCCUUGCGCUAUCGGAUGAACCCAUAUGGGAUUAGCUAGUAGGUGGGGUAAUGGCUCACCUAGGCGACGAUCCCUAGCUGGUCUGAGAGGAUGAUCAGCCACACUGGGACUGAGACACGGCCCAGACUCCUACGGGAGGCAGCAGUGGGGAAUAUUGCACAAUGGGCGCAAGCCUGAUGCAGCCAUGCCGCGUGUAUGAAGAAGGCCCUAGGGUUGUA
rnacentral:rRNA from 1 species